GGUUAAGCGACUAAGCGUACACGGUGGAUGCCCUGGCAGUCAGAGGCGAUGAAGGGCGUGCUAAUCUGCGAUAAGCGCCGGUAAGGUGAUAUGAACCGUUAUAACCGGCGAUACCCGAAUGGGGAAACCCAGUGUGACUCGUCACACUAUCAUUAACUGAAUCCAUAGGUUAAUGAGGCGAACCGGGGGAACUGAAACAUCUAAGUACCCCGAGGAAAAGAAAUCAACCGAGAUUCCCCCAGUAGCGGCGAGCGAACGGGGAGGAGCCCAGAGCCUGAAUCAGCAUGUGUGUUAGUGGAAGCGUCUGGAAAGGCGCGCGAUACAGGGUGACAGCCCCGUACACAAAAGCGCAUGUGCUGUGAGCUCGAUGAGUAGGGCGGGACACGUGGUAUCCUGUCUGAAUAUGGGGGGACCAUCCUCCAAGGCUAAAUACUCCUGACUGACCGAUAGUGAACCAGUACCGUGAGGGAAAGGCGAAAAGAACCCCGGCGAGGGGAGUGAAAAAGAACCUGAAACCGUGUACGUACAAGCAGUGGGAGCCCCACCACCAAAGCAUUUGCUGUACCGCGUUGACGGAGCGAAGCGACGUCAAACCGAUAAAACAGCAGUGUAAAGUGAGCCGCAGGGCGCUUUGCGCGACAGCGCAAAGGCAGGCGGUUUCGCGUAGCGAAAGCGAAUGCUUUGGGGUGG
rnacentral:rRNA from 1 species